AAGAAUCCACGAAACAGAUGACAUGGCAUAAAAACGGCCGUCGAUAUAAUCCUGAGAAGCUGGUACACCCAUCCGAUGCUGAAGCCUGGAAACACUUUGAUGCGAUUUAUCCUGCAAAAGCUCUAGAGGCCCGUAACGUACGCGUUGCAUUGGCAACAGAUGGGUUCAAUCCUUAUGGAAUGGCGGCUGCCCCGUACACCUGUUGGCCCAUUUUCG
rnacentral:lncRNA from 1 species